UGUACAACAUUAUUGAUGAUGAGAGCGUGAAUGACAAUCUGGAUCUUAUUGUCGUCCCUCAAUACGGAAGAAAUCUCGAUCACACUGGUUAAGUGCUAUCUUACUCUUUCGAAUUAUGUUCAAUUAAAUAAAAUGAUGGGUUAUUAAUACCUGUCAAUUAUGUGAGUGUCUCUGUUUGUUUUAGUUCAACUUAUAAAAUCUCUUGAGAUAUACAAGAGAUUUUCUAUAUUUACUUCUGUGUAUCGUGUCUUCUUGAAAAAAGAAAUUAAUAAAAAAUAUCAUUGUGUGAUCCUUUUCUUUCCCCUACUGCUGUAGCAUCAAAUCUUUAGAAUUAGAUAUCAAGUGGUAUUCGAGCCGUCAAAUGAUCCAUGGCAACACGCAACAAAUCAAAUGCUGAAUUUCGCGAAGAGAUUCACGAAAUCCUUGCUAUACAUGAGUCUAGUUUAUUUCAAACAACGCGUGCAAUGUUCCCGUUAUUGUUUAGUAUGUCUUUUGUUGUUUGCAAUGUAGUUAGGGAUGUUAACGGGUAGGAUUUGGUACGGGUUUGACAUUACCAAAAGCCGCAUCUGUAAAAAAAAGUUUAAUUAUCAAAUUCAUUGUGGCUUUUAUUUAUUCGUUUUUUUUUUCUUUUAACAAAGCCCAUCAGCUGUGGGUUUAAAUGGUACCUGAUGGAUAUCUUUUAACUUGCUAGACACGAGUCUAGCUUUGACCAAGUUGACGCCACCCUUCAAACAAUCCUUACGGAACUUCAAUCCUUGCAUCUCCACUCUCCAAUGUACUUCUUCCCCAGAGGGGAGACCAACCCAUUUGCUACAGCUCACAUCUCUUCACGAUACUGGUUAAAAGCAUGGGGCAUUAGUCGAAGACGCUUCUUGGGAAAACCAUUAGCGAUUCUCAAAGACUUUGACAUUGUGGACAAAGUGGUUGUAAGGGUGGGGAUUAACAUGUCUCCAAACGACAAGCAGCCAUGCAUGUAAUUAAAAUUUUGUUCAGGAUUGGUAUUAUAAACGUUUUUAUUUAUAAAAAAAAAAAUUUAGAUUAUUGUCAGAUUAAAAUUACGAUUGUGUUGAGGUACUGAUUGUGUUAAGCUACUUUAAAUAAAUAAUUCGCAUUAUAUUUUAGUUAAAAAGAAGAGACUAAUUCCAAACUUCUUUCUUAAAUUUAUUUGAUAAGUAACGACAAAUGUUAAUAUCCAACAUAGAGGGCAAAAAAAAAGUUGGGCUACCUGGGCCAAGGACCAUGUUGGCCCAUACCUUUGCUUUUACCUAAUGAUAUUGAUAUCCCAUCAAUAUUGAAGUAUUUUUCUUUGCCUCUACAAAAGUAGUAAACUUUCUCUUUUAUGCUCGUUGUUCAGAGCAUGGGAGUGUACUCGUAGAGACACUGCUCAUGUAAGAUUUUCAGUUAAGUUUUUAAAAAAUUUUUUUUUGGUCUUAUCCACGAGGUAUCCUGGGGAGGGCCCCAACUAUGGGAGGCACCUUUAAACCCGUACCACAACCCAGACUAAAAGUCCCCGCUCGAACCGGGAGGCACAGGUUCUCCCAACAAAGCGACUUCCCUGCGACUCGAACUGGGGAGCAAACCCAAUCAAGUCACUUAAGGGAACUCCAUUGCCAGUGGAGCCAACACUUUGUUGGUAGUUAAGUUUUUAAAAAUGAUAAGCUAAGAAAUAAUUUUGUUAGGGGUUCACUUAGCAGGCAUUUAAUAUUCUCAACUCAUGCAAGAAUAUCAGCACAAAUUUUAAACGCUGAGCUGAGCUCACAUUUUAUAAGCACACAGAUCGAGAAGGGUUUGAUUCUUGAUAAUUGUGCCACAUGUCAUAUUGGAAUCACGACAUGUUACUAAAAAAAAAAAGAAAUAAUGUGAGCCCAUUUCUAAUCAAAAAAAAAAAAAAGAAAUAAUUAUAAUAAAAAUAAGUACAUCACUAAUAGUUUAUCCAUCGUUUAUAUCAAUGCAUUUAUUAAUGAUUAAAUUUUUCCUAUCAUAAUUUUAUGAUUGCUUUUAAUAGUAAUAUGUAUGUCAUAUUUAAUUUUGAGAGAAAUUCAAAAUUAUUCAAAUUUUCUGCCUUUCUUAAUUUUUCUGUCGAAAAUUGAUUUAAUUUCAAUUUCUUUUUCGUCUAGAAAAUGUAUUGGUUAGAAGUUACAAAAGGAGUUUCAGUGGAUUUGCAGCCAAGCUCACUGAUCAUGAGAGGCAAAAGCUGGCCAGUAAGUAUUGCACAGUACUUUCUUUUAUAUAUAUAUAUAUAUAUAUAUAUAUAUGAAUUAUGGCUUUCAUUUUUGUAACUGUGACGUGCAGGCAUGGAAGACGUUGUAUCGGUUUUUCCAGGUAGAACACUCCAACUCUAUACGACAAGAUCUUGGGAUUUCAUGGGUUUUAAUCAAUCUAUUAGUGGAAAAUAUGGUAUCGAGAGUGCUAUUAUAGUUGGCGUCACCGACAGUGGAAUAUGUCCUGAAUCGGAGAGAUGAAGGCUUUGGCCCUGCUCCCAAGAAGUAGAAAGGCGCUUGCAAAGGUGGCAUAAAUUUCGCUUGCAACAAGUAGUGAUUUUGUGCUGGACUUUAACCUGACCAACCAAAACAAAAAAAAUAAAGGAAAGGAGAAUUGAUGUUGGAGGUUGCCUAACUAUGUCUGAAGUGUUCUCACCCAAACGGAGGAGGUUAAGUGUGUUGGGGUGAUUAUUGAUGAAGAGGACCAAGUUGGAACCAAACGACUCCUGCAAAACAAAGCUAGAUGCUAGCGUUAGGGGUGGAGCCGCCGGAGGUCGUGACCUCACUCCGACGCUCAAGUCAGACUAUAAAAGACAAAAGGCUGUUUAAAGUCGCAAGGUAUCUCAAAGCCUUAAACAAUGGAGGACAAGGUCAGAGAAAGAAGAAAAAGAUGAGCAAAAAUGUGAGAUGAUGGAUAGUUGUUACUGUUAGAACGAACCUUAUGCUUAUGUGGAGUGUGCCUUAGGGCCAUUUUGGUAAUUUUAUACACAUGGCACUUAAUUAGUGGCUUCCCUCCCUCAUUUGAGGACAUUUGCGUAAUUGGAUUAGCAGUCUCAAGAUAGCGAUAUUCCUAAACUUGGGAAGUAAGCAAACCACUAGCCACCCUUUUGCUCCCUUGCUUUAUACACGUGGCAUUACCUCCAUCUUGUGAUCUUACUACUUUUUAGACCACUUCAGAGAUAGCUGACGUGGCGCUUAUUUAUUAACUUAAUUCAUGAAUCUUUCUUACUAUCGGUUCCUUAUAUUUAACCAAAGGUGAGAUAUUUUUUAUUUUACAAAUGAUAGCAUGUACUGUUUACGUGUGCAUUUAAUAACCAAAAUUCUAAGUUCUAAUUAUGCCCUUUGAUAUCAUGUCUUUCCGAAAUCGCCACUCUUUGCAAAGAGCUUGCCUCCUAGUCCUCCUCUAGCUGUCCUACCACUCUGUUUUAAUUGUAGUGGUUUCAAAUUGUUUGACUCCUUUUUGCCAGCCAUUGGUCCACAUUUGCUUCCACAAUUCCCCCAAACAAAUGGUUUCUAUAUUUUAUGGUAUAGACAGCCUUUAAAGCUUAACAAAUUUGAGCAAUAACAUUUUAACACUGAUUAAUUUUAAUUUCAUUCAAGAAAAAUAAUCCAACAUUUGCAACUGGAUUACAGAAAGCGCGAAGCAGAAAUAUUAACUACUGAAACAAUUAAGGAUUCUCAUGUUCCUGUCGUUCCUGGCUUUUCUUCACGCGGGCCAAAUGAAAUUGCACCAGAUAUCUUGAAGGUGUAUAUAUUAUUUUAAAACAUAGUGUUGUUUCAUAAUAGAAAUAUUUAUAUGGCUUAUGCUGAUUUGAUGGUUGUUUACCAUAAUUCUGCCGGAAUAUAAUCGCCCCGGAGUAGAUAUACUGGCUGCAUAUUCUCCUUUUGGUGUGAUUCAUGUCGAUCCGUUAUUUAAGAGGCUAGGUAAUUUCACUAUACUAUCUGGAACAUUCGUGUCUUGUCCUCAUGCUGCUGGAGUAGCUGCAUAUGUCAAAUCGUUCCAUCCCGACUGGUCUCCUUCUGCAAUCCAAUCAGCUAUAAUGACUACUGGUAACCUAAUCUUCUAUCAUCAAAAACAUAAUAUGAUCGGAUAACUUAAUUUGAAAGUUAGCGUUCUUAAAUCACCAAAUUUUGUCCAUGAAGUUUUCCAAAAAUAAAGAUGCUGAAUUUGCAUUUGGUUUGGGCAUAUCAAUCAUGUUGAAGCUAUAAAUCCAGGACUUGUAUAUGAAACUUUCGAACAAGAUUACAUAAUAAUGCUCUGCAACAUUGGUUACGAUGAGGGCAAUAUUGGCAAAAAUAUCAGGAAAAAUCAGCACUUGUUUUAAAGGCUCAGAUAAAGCAACACCAAAAGAUCUCAAUUACUCUUCAAUGGCAGCUCAAGUUUCCCCAGGAAAGUCUUUCGCAAUCAACUUCCAAGGACUGUUUCUAACAUUGGCCUUGCAAACUCCACUUACAGGGCAAAAAUCUUGCAAAUUCGAAAUAUUUAGUAUCAAAGUUGUGCCUGAAGCUCUCUCCUUCAGGUCCUUGAAUGAGAAGAAGUCUUUCAGUGUUACUGUCACUGGAAAAGGUGUGCCAAAUGGAGCAAUUGUUUCUGCUUCCUUGAUGUGAUCUGAUGGCAAUCACAGUGUCAGAAGUCCAAUUGUUUGACCGAUAUCUUUAGUGCAUUGUAUCAAUUGUUUAUAUUAAAUUAAUAUUAAUGCUAUGUUUGGAAGAAUAUGGAAAUAAGUUAAAGGGGCCGCAUUAAUUGUUUUUGCUUUAUAAUUAUAAUAAUAAUAAAUAAAUAUAACUUUUAAUUUAAUAUAAUAUUAUAUAAUUUUUACAUUAUAAUCUAUUAAUAAAUUUAUUUUUUUAGGGAAUAAAUUUAUAAUUUAAUAUAAUUAAUAAUAAAUAUUUAAAUAUGAAUAAAUUUGAAUAAUAUUAAUUAAAAUUUAAUAAUAAUAUAAUUUAAAUAUAUUAAUAUAAUAUAAUAUAUAAUUUAAAUUAAUCACUAAAAAAAGUAAUACGAUACAGUGUAGCACCGGAUAUUAUACAACAUUAUUAUAAUACAGUGUUAAUGCAAUACAAUAUAAUACAAUACACCAGCAUUAAAAUAAUGUAAUACAAUAUAUAUAAUACAGCAUGUCAAACGCACCCUACAUUCACAAGAGUGACCCUAGUGAAAUUAAUAUGAUUGUACUACUAGUAUUGGGGGAAAAAAAUACGCCAUAAAAAUAUGUACAAUUAUUGAUUCAAUUAGUUAAUAUCCAUUUAAAUCAAUAAAUUUCUUUUUGUUCUGUGUGUAUUAAAUUUAACGAGAUUAUGUUUUAUGUCCCAAUCUUGCAUAUUUCAAUAGUAACGUAUCUUUAGAUGUAAAUCUUGCAUAUUUCAAUAGUAAUGUAUCUUUAGAUGUAACAGUAUUUAAUUUACAUAUUAUUACACUCGAUUCUGAUAUCUCUCUAUUAUAAAGCUUGACUACAUGCAUCUAGUAAUGAUGUAAAAAUUUGGGGAUUACUAAUUAAUUCCAACCGGUGAUUGGCUGUAAUAGUAUGAUGCAUUCCAUGUCAAGGAAAAUGAAUAUGGAAGCUUGUUAAAGAUGAGUUUCAUUCUGAAAAAUUCUGAAUCACCACAGAGUAUGAUAUGAUACUAUCAAUAUUGAUGGAGAGUUUUUCUUGGCCUUCACAAAAGCAGUGAACUAUCUCUUUUAUGCUCAUUCAUAGAAUGAGCUCUAUGCCAAACCUUUAGGCUUUGUGAUUUGGUUUCUAAGAAGUAUAUGAUUGAAGUAUCAGAGUAGCGCAACGAAAGUGUGAUUUGUUUGCUUGAGUCUUAUAAGGAUUUAUUGGUCAUACUUGAUUUUGAGAUAUGGAUUCUUUUGGGCAUAACAAAAAGUGAAUUUUGAUAACGGAAUUCUUUUAAGGGGGGAAGAGUGUAAUACCCCAAUUCUCCUAAGGGUAUUUAAGUCUUUUUUAUUUUUAGUGAUAUUUUUUUACCCUAGUAUAAAUAGAAUAAGAUGCCUUUACCAUUAUGAGAGAGGGAGGAAGAGAAAUCGGCUGAGGAAAAAAACGACAGAGAAAAAAAAAGAUGGAGAGAAAAGAGAGAAAAGAAACGAAAAAGAGAAGAAGAAAGUCUUCUUUUUUGUCCUACCAUGAGCAACACAUGAGAUCAAGUUACAUAAUUUGAAUUGGGUAUUUUUGUGAGAAGAUUUGGAUUUGGAGGUAAGUUUUAAUUCUUGGUUUUUAUUAAUUUGUUGUGGAGAAACAUGAUUGCAAUAGAAGUAGAAACCUAAGAUUUUACAAAAAUAUGCUGACAGUGCAUUAUUACGAAACUUAUAGUAAUUUGUACAAAUUGAUUUCGAUCUUAAUUUUUGGAUAUGUUAAACUAAACAUCAUCUAGAAUGUUUUGAAACUUGUUUCAAGGUAAUCAGAUAAGAUUUGAAUUAAUUAUGAAUUUUCAAAGUCAAGUCUGAAAACCAAAANUUAGUACGAUUUCACAAAAGGAAGCUAGAGGAAGAUGGAGCUUUCAAGUAAUGUAUGCAUCAAGGAAAGUGACAGAGCUAAGGAGAAAUGGGACAAGUGCUAAUCAUCGUUAUCAAAAAUUAAAUAGAUCAGCAUUUUGUCAGUUCUGGCCAUAUAUAUUUUUCAAAGAUUGGGACUGUUAGCCCGCUGUAAUUUUAUUUUCAAGCUCUUCUCUGUCAAACCUAUUUUACUUUCCAAAAUAUCUUUAUUCCAUUUUUUAUUUUCUUUCUGAUUCAAGAAUUUUUUUUUUAAAAAAUCUGUUUCUUCCAAACAACUCCAAUUACAAUUUUUUUAUAAAUUUUUGAAUUAUUAAAUCUAUAUAUUUAACUAAAGAGAAUCAUAUAUAUGAACUAAAUAGAAUUAAAAGUGGACUCAAAUGGCUAUUAUGUUAUUUUUUUCUAAAUUAAAGAAGUUUAGAAUCUGAGCCUCCUUGUAAGCCAUAAACAAAAAAAGUUUAGAAUGCAAAAGUAUUUGAGAAAAAAAAUAUAAAACACUUUGAUGUAGUUGCAUGAAUGUAAAGAGGUAGAUAGAGAAAUAGUGUGUAUAAUUAGAUUUUUUUUUUCUUUAAAGUAAUUGCAAUAUGAGAGGGGUUAAGAAUUUCAUAGGAGUGCCACUGAUUCAACUCUUUUUCAACAGAAUUGAUGUUCUGGAAGAAAAUUAUGACUCUAUCAUUGCUAUUAGUUUGUCUUGUAAUUCAAUUAUUGCCGACAAGUAUUAACUGUGAUUAUUUUUUAUUUUAAAAUUAUUAUUUUAGUAUUGCAAUUAUUAGCCUUAUAAUUGCAAUUAGUUUGUCUUGUAACUAAAUUAUUGCCGAAACACUAUCAUGCUGACAACAAUGCAUGCACGUCCUCAAUCACCCACGUCCUCUACUUGUGUGAAUGUGUAUAUAAAUAUAUCUGGAGCAUAUUAUAAACCAGAAGCAAAAGCAACUGAAGUUUUGUAUACGGUUCACCAGAAGUUUGAAGAUAUCUUUUCUAAUUUGAGAAUAUGGAAACUCCUUAUCCAGGUUCUUACGCCAUGUUCAGCUGAAUGUCACUUAUAAUUUUUAUUUUAAUAUAUGUAUUUAUGAAUACAAUUGUUGUUAUGAUUUUUUCAGGUAAGAACGAAUGGUCUGAGGGUAACCCAAUAACUAUGUACAGCAUUAUUGAUGAUGAGAGCGUGAAUGACAAUCUGGAUCUUAUUGUCGUCCCUCAAUACGGAAGAAAUCUCGAUCACACUGGUUAAAUCUUACUCUUUCGAAUUAUGUUCAAUUAAUAAAAUGAUGGGUUAUUAAUACCUGUCAAUUAUGUGAGUGUCUCUGUUUGUUUUAGUUCAACUUAUAAAAUCUCUUGAGAUAUACAAGAGAUUUUCUAUAUUUACUUCUGUGUAUCGUGUCU
rnacentral:lncRNA from 1 species